rnacentral:lncRNA from 1 species
UUUUUGUGGUGUCCCGGGAUAUAAAGGUCUUACAUAGGACAUAAGAAAGUCACUUGGCUGAUAUAAAAGGAAGAGGAAAGAAGAAUCCAUGAAGUCAUAACCAGUGCAAAGAAGCUGAAGAAUACACAAUGGAAUUCAUGUACUUUGAGCUCAGUGGUCAGAAUAGGUUCCUCUGGCAAGUCUGGGAGUUUGGCUUUGAUGGAACAUUUGAGAAAACUCAGUGAACGUGGACCUGAUGGAUGGCUAAGACUCUUCUUAGCACUUAAGAAAAUGUACAACCAUAGAAUAAAACAAUGUGUUCUUGAG